CAGAUCAGCUGCUUUCUGCAUGCAUGGAAAGAAAGGAGAAAGAACCUCCAGCAUAACCCAAAGGACAGGUCCUGGGGUUUCUUUCUCUCCAACUCACUCUGCACGUUUCUACUCUCCAUGUGUUUUGAAAGACUUGAUCAGUGUCGCUCAGAAGCAUUGCCAUGGACGCCCAGCUUCCUGAACAUGGCCUACUUGACCUCAGUGAAGUACUCCAGAAUGUCAGUAAUCAUCUCAUUACCUGCUGGGACUGUUUGCACUUACCUUCAGUACCACUGAUCAGCAAUCCCAUUCUUAUCACAUCGGCUUCCCAGCUUUCAGCAGCAGCUUCAGUGGUGACAGGGCUGGAGCUGCUGCUGCGUGCCUUGGAGAUAAAAAAAGAACACCAUAUCUGACUCACUAAGUUAACAUCUAUCAGCUCUGCCAACACCGUGUUCAGUGUCUGGGAAGCUGAUACAAUAAAUUUCUGCCCAUAUUGAAUGUACCUAGUGGCUUCACUGAGGAACUGCAAAACCUCGUCACCUCAGUCCAACCGUGACAUGCAGCACUCCACACAUUUUCCCAUGUGCAUUAUUUUCACUUUUAUCCAUGUGAUCAAACUUUGAAAACUGAAAAGAAGAAAACAGCUCUAAAGAUCUGCAAAGAAUAAGCAGUACCAAAUAACGUUUGAGGGUGAUGCGGCAGAAGAAGAAAACGGACUAACAAUUUGUGAAUUAAAGGUUUGACACUAGGGGGGGGAAACGCUGUAACACAUUUCACACUCAAAUGUUCGCUGUUUUCUUGCUUUUACCUGAGGCCAAAAUCUUGAGCAUCCACUCAUUAUAGCUCAACAGCUCCAAAUGCCAGGGCAGAAUGACAUUGACCAGUUUCUUUUUAAGUAACUUUACUGAGAAGUGGGAAUGUUUGCAGAUUAACUCAAGGCUAGCUUCCUCAGUGACAGACGAAAGGUUUUUUUGUUGUUUCUUUUUAUUUCCUUUUUUUUUUUCUUUUUUAGUGGGGGAGUGGAUGAUGGAAGAUGAGGGGAGACGAAAAACAUUUGACUUGGCCCGAAGUAAAAGUGCAUACUUCACACAUAUUUCUAACCAACCCCCCAAAACAGUUUCUGGCUUUGAACGUGUUGAACAGGAAGCCAUUUAGUGUUGGAAUGCUUGCUUUGCCAGUCCAAGAAACACACGUUCUUAUUACUCCUGGGCUAUCUAAAAAGGUUCAGGGUGAAAAAGUUUAAUUUAUAUGUAGAAACUUGUUUCCUGUUUUGUUUUUUCCCCCUGUGUGCCAAGUCUGUUUUUUAAACUCCGUGAUAGGAAGCACAUUUCCCAUUUUCUCCCUUUCAUCUCACUUUAUUUACUCAGCUGUAUAUUUCACUUCAAUUUAUAGCUUAUACUCUUACCUGGCUUAAAGUCCAAAGACAGAGCGAGAAAGAGAUGGAUGUUGUGUUUUCAUGGUUACUGAGGAAAGGGAAGAAUCUGGGUGGAGGUGAAGCUGCCUUUAUAUCAAUAUCAAGGGAGUGGUUGAUGGAGACUUUUCUUUCAGGAUGUUCUACAGUAUACAUUCAAAAAAGGUGAGGAAGAGGACACAAGGAAAGCAGUAGUGAGGCAGAGCAGUUCCCUCAUUACUGAAUGAACUUGUGCAUAUUUGAACCCUAUUUACGUUCUCCAAAUGAGAUACACAACACAGCUAUUUCCCUCUGUUUGAACUACUUGCAUGUAGAAGCAUAAGCAACUAAAAAUAAAGUUAAAAUAAAGUAACAAAAAGAAAAGUAAAAUAAAUUAAGUUUACAAAUAUUAGGUACGCCUAAUAUACAUAUGUAUGUGUCCACUCUGCAAGAGAAUUAGCUCCCCAAGAAAGAAGAAAAGACUUCUUGAACAAGGACUGUGGUAUUUAAAAAUUAGAUUAGGACCAUUGCUUAGAACAGAUUUUAAGAAAAUGGAUGACUUUGUUGCUUUGGAGGUGAAAAGAUGCCUAAUGAAAGCCAUUGUACGCAUAACUGCAUGCCCAUUGCAACUAAAGGGAACUAGCAGGCCCACUACAUUAUUGUAGCUCAGUUGUCAAAUCAUUAAGACUGUAACAGGCUUUGAAAUAUCUUGAGUCUUUCCUUUUUUGCUGUCCCAACAUCUUGAUAUUGCCCAAUAAAAAACAUCCCAGCUAUUAAAAGGAGGGAAUGCACUGUGGCUUUUUCCAUAUGCCAUCCUGGGGUGAAAUUCUGUAAAAAUAUCACUUUUCUCUUUUGUACCACUCUUCCUCUAGAGGCCAAAGUAUCUGCGUGAGUAGCCUCCAAUUUAAAGUUUGAUAUAGAUGCAAAAGAUUCCAUCCGUAUCUGCAGCAGAUCCUUUGAUUCUCUACACCUCUAUUAUUAACAAGCCUUCAAUAAAAUAGUCAGUGUACCUCUUCAAAGAAAUGCCCAUUUCUUCAAGAUAACAUGGCUGAGGCACACAGGUGCUCCUACAUGCAAGGGAAAUUACUGCUGAACUCACGAGCUUUUGUGAACCAACAUGCGGCAUUGCUUCCAAUGGCUGCUCAGUGGUCAAGCUUGUCUCUGAAGAGCUUGGCCUACACUUCUGCCAAUACUCCUGGCCAUAGUGACUUCAGGAAGCUGAAGUGGGUCAGGUAUAACAGAACUUGACAUUGUCCAUCUUCCACAUCCUUUUUUUCUCUUUUUCUGAAAAG
ensembl:lncRNA